AGAGUUUGAUCCUGGCUCAGAUUGAACGCUGGCGGCAGGCCUAACACAUGCAAGUCGAGCGGUAGAGAGAAGCUUGCUUCUCUUGAGAGCGGCGGACGGGUGAGUUAUGCCUAGGAAUCUGCCUGGUAGUGGGGGAUAACGUUCGGAAACGGACGCUAAUACCGCAUACGUCCUACGGGAGAAAGCAGGGGACCUUCGGGCCUUGCGCUAUCAGAUGAGCCUAGGUCGGAUUAGCUAGUUGGUGAGGUAAUGGCUCACCAAGGCGACGAUCCGUAACUGGUCUGAGAGGAUGAUCAGUCACACUGGAACUGAGACACGGUCCAGACUCCUACGGGAGGCAGCAGUGGGGAAUAUUGGACAAUGGGCGAAAGCCUGAUCCAGCCAUGCCGCGUGUGUGAAGAAGGUCUUCGGAUUGUAAAGCACUUUAAGUUGGGAGGAAGGGUUGUAGAUUAAUACUCUGCAAUUUUGACGUUACCGACAGAAUAAGCACCGGCUAACUCUGUGCCAGCAGCCGCGGUAAUACAGAGGGUGCAAGCGUUAAUCGGAAUUACUGGGCGUAAAGCGCGCGUAGGUGGUUUGUUAAGUUGGAUGUGAAAUCCCCGGGCUCAACCCGGGAACUGCAUUCAAAACUGACUGACUAGAGUAUGGUAGAGGGUGGUGGAAUUUCCUGUGUAGCGGUGAAAUGCGUAGAUAUAGGAAGGAACACCAGUGGCGAAGGCGACCACCUGGACUAAUACUGACACUGAGGUGCGAAAGCGUGGGGAGCAAACAGGAUUAGAUACCCUGGUAGUCC
rnacentral:rRNA from 1 species